rnacentral:rRNA from 1 species
GACGAACGCUGGCGGCGUGCUUAACACAUGCAAGUCGAACGGAAAGGCCCUGCUUUUGUGGGGUGCUCGAUUGGCGAACGGGUGAGUAACACGUGAGUAACCUGCCCUUGACUUUGGGAUAUCUUCAGGAAACUGGGGCUAAUACCUGAUAGGAGCUCCUGCUGCAUGGUGUGGGUUGGAAAGUUUCGGCGGUUGGGGAUGGACUCGCGGCUUAUCAGCUUGUUUGUGGGGUAGUGGCUUACCAAGGCUUUGACGGGUAGGCGGCCUGAGAGGGUGACCGGCAACAUUGGGACUGAGAUACGGACCAGACGAGAACGGGAGGCAGCAGUGGGGAAUAUUGCACAAUGGGAGGAAGCAUGAUGCAGCAAAGCAGCGUGCGGGAUGAAGGCCUUCGGGUUGUAAAACGAUUUCGCCUGUGACGAAGAGUGAGUGACGGUAAUGGGUAAAGAAGCACCGGCUAACUACGUG